rnacentral:rRNA from 1 species
UACGUAGGGUGCAAGCGUUGUCCGGAAUUAUUGGGCGUAAAGAGCUCGUAGGCGGUUUGUCGCGUCUGCCGUGAAAGUCCGGGGCUCAACUCCGGAUCUGCGGUGGGUACGGGCAGACUAGAGUGAUGUAGGGGAGACUGGAAUUCCUGGUGCAGCGGUGAAAUGCGCAGAUAUCAGGAGGAACACCGAUGGCGAAGGCAGGUCUCUGGGCAUUAACUGACGCUGAGGAGCGAAAGCAUGGGGAGCGAACAGG